ACCCGACCUGCUGUCCGACAUAUUGGAGAGCCAGACGCUACUGCACUCCAAGCGUUCUGUGGUGUCCGUCACGGUGGAUGGCCAGUUCAGCGUCAAACUGCGCGGCGAAGGCAGAGUGGAUGUUAGCAAGGCGUCCGACCCGCCGGUGCGUUCUGCGCCCGCGCACGGGCAGCGCGGCGGUUGGGGCGGCGGCUACAGCGGCAACUACCAUCGCGAGCAGAGCGCUAAUAACUUUGGUCGGGGGUACUCGUACGGCCCCAACGGCGGCGAGAGCAAUUAUCCAAACCGCGGGAACUACGGCGGCGCGCGGCGGGAGGAGGAGUGGGGCGGGGCCCCGCGCCGCGGC